UUCCACAAACCUAUUCCCUACUUUAGCGGUGUGGUCACAGGAGAUUGUGAUCAGCUCUGGGGUUCACUAGUGACGGCCGCGCUACUGCUGUGGCCGAUUGCCACCACCCGCAACAGUUGCGGGGAAGAUGACGCCGUUGCCACCAGCCGCCUCAGUUGCGGGGAAGAUGACGCCGUUGCCACCGGCCGCCUCAGUUGCGGGGAAGAUGACGCCGUUGCCACCGGCCGCCUCAGUUGCGGGGAAGAUGACGCCGUUGCCACCGGCCGCCACAGUUGCGGGGAAGAUGACGCCAUAGUUGCCGCCGCCGGGGAAGAUGCUGCCAUAGUUGCCGCCGCCGUCGGCAGCACUGCUGCCAUUGUUGCUGCCGUCGGCCACGCUGCUGCCGUUGUUGCCGCCGCCAGCGACGUCGGCCACGCUGCUGCCGUUGUUGCCGCCGCCAGCGCCGUCGGCCACGCUGCUGCCGUUGUUGCCGCCGCCAGCGCCGUCGGCCACGCUGCUGCCGUUGCUGCUGCCACCACUGGUCGCACCAGGGAAGGUGCCGCAGUCCAUGGCAGUGUGUACAGGGACCUUCUCAGUUUUGAGUGGUUUUGGUCUGUUCAGGGUCUGUACAAGUCUCACAUGGCCAAAUGAUGACUCAGCUUCCACACCAUUGGUUUCCAGUUGUACUGAAAGUGAGAGAGCUGGUUAACAAAAACAAUUGAAGUCAAAGGAAUUGAGUGAUGUUCUCUACACUAACAGUGCUUUGAGAAUUCAAACAUUUGUAUCAAACUUAAGCUACACCUAACAACUUCCUGGCCACCAGUAAGUCUAAUGGACGGAACAUUUUGCCCUUAGUGCAUCCAUGAUGUCAAAGCAGCUGUAUACUUGACAUUGUAUGGCAAUGUAGUUUAAGUUAAGCAUUGUGUUGCAACACCAGACAAAUACAUUAAACUGAAAAGGCUCAUUGUGAGACUGAUACAAGACUCCACCAGUAGGAUUUUGUUGAACCUGCUCACCUUCCUUAGCAUCUUGCUCCAAAAUGGACUCCAUCGACUGGAGAAGUGCAACGGUCUUCUUUAAUGAGAGCCCAUUGGGAGACAAAUCUGUUGUACAAAAGGAAAUUAAGUUAGUGCCAGAAAGUAGUUCAGAAAAGAUUUGGGUACACAUGUUCUUACCUUCCAUCUUCCUCUGAAGCCCAUGAUCAUUCCUUUUAUUUGUCCCAUCAACUGGCAAACAAGAGCCUAUGGAUAGUAAACUUGCUGUUAAUCAAAUGUUCAUGUGGUUUGAUGGCACUAUAUAUCUCAGACUAGUGACGACUAAAAUUUCACACUCCAAGUUAUGCCAAAGGAUCCUCUAGUAUGUCAAGUUUUUGCCUGAAAUCAAGUGAACUUACUCUUACAGUUCUGUACGCCAUUACCAUCUUUUUUUUUUUUUUUUUUUUAAAAACAGAAGCUUGAAAUAGAAAGAAAUGUGAAAACCUUUGGCAAGCCAAACAGUCAGGACACAAACGACAAAGGCCCAAAUAGCUCCCAUUGCAUCAGUCACCAACAGGAAGUGUUACCUAUGCCACACACUGGGUCUGAAAAAGCCUCUCAUGCAGGUGGCACAGCUGUUGUUAAUCAGCUCUAAUUAGCUUUCUACAGAGGUGCUGCAAUUCAGCUCCUCCCGUAACAAGCAUGUGUUCAUUUGAAUUUAUUUAUAAUAAUACAUUUUGGAUUUAUUUAUUUUCUAUUCCUUGCUUUGGUUGUAUGUUUGUGAGAAAUUAUGAUAUUAAAUUUAGGGCUGUCAGGCGAUUAAAAAAAUUAAUCUAAUUAAUUACAGGAUUUGUAAUUAAUUAAUCUAAUUAAUCACAUCUGCUAAAGGUACCCAAAUAAAGAAUUCGAAUUCUAGGACAUUACAAAAUUGUGUUGCGUGACUAAUCAAUUGAAUACACUAAGAAGAGAAGAUUUGAAAUCCACAUUUUUAUUGGUGAAGCGCGUUUCAUAAAUGAAAUUUAAAAGAAAAUGGUCAAGCACAUCCCAGCAAACCAAUUAGGCCAGGUGCAUUAUUCAAAAAUGCAGUACAAAUACACUUAAAUAAAUAAAAUGUAGCGUUUAAAUGACAAGUCAAGUUGGAGCAGCUUCGGUGAUGGGAGAAUUCUUUUUUACAAAAGCUACAAAUCACCACGUUCUUUUUAUAAAUAAACUUGCCGUUCAAAGGCCCUAGCAACGAUGUGCUCACCUCGCUCCCCUGAGUUGCGUCCAUGUCUGUUCUCACCCUGCUUUGACUAGCGUAGGGCCCUAUAAAAUUCGUUUUGUUUUUUCUCAAAUUCCGUUUUAAUUUUUGUGAAUCCUGAUUUACUCUUAUUAUACUACCAAAAACAGUGUGUUUUUAAUGUAAAUAACUAAAAUGUAAACAAAUUAAAUAGAAAUUACCUUAAAAGGGACAAACAUAUUUCCUCAAUACUGUACCGUACAGUAAAGUGCAUCAACAAUAUUUUGACUUCAUCAUGUCUUCAUACAGUAACGAUAGUAUAUUUUGUGUUUUUAUGGGUUUCAUUGAAUAAAAACAUGGUCAGCUCUCAGGCAGAUCCAGAAAAGCCUCCCAGCCCAGGCAGAGUCAACUAACAAGGCUGUGGUUAACGGGGCUAGCGAGCUAACAGCAGCUACUGUUAGCAGCAGUUAGCAGUCACUCUGGUAUUAUAUGCCGAUAAUAUGAAUCGGACAGGUGGCUAACUCUCACGCAGCGGCAUUACACCUUUAAUUAUGAUUCUCAGGUCUGCUUCUUUGCAAAACCACAGUUCACCUGACACAUACAAGUCGUUCGGGAACUGCUCGGCUCUAUACUGAGGGGCAAAUGUCAAGUUUCUCAGCUUUUUCGCCGACGAAGACGGAGCCGUUGUCAGCCGCUUCGCCAUGCUUGCAAUGUUUUGACGGGGGAGUUCAGUCUGUGGGGAGGGGGGCGCGACUUGUUGUGCCACCCAGAUUUGGUUCCCCCGUGCAGUUUUCCCCAGACAAACGUUCCUCUUCCACACGAGAACAACAUUUCAGUGAAAUUAUGUCAAAUUCCGCGAUAUUCCGCGUUAAAAAGUAGAUUCCGUUUUAAUCGGCCAAUUCCGCGAUUCCGUGAUCACGGAAAUCAUAGGGUCCUUCUAGCGACGCGAGUGGGAAGUGACUAACGUUAGAGUUGCACGAUACCCGCGGUACCCACGGUACCCCGCGGUGCCAAAUCUUAACGGUUCCUACUAUACUAGAAAUUCUACACGACGGUACUACCGUGGAUUACUAUACUACCGGUGCCAGUUUCCGCUACAUAGCGGCCGCCUCUACUCUCCUUCUCACUGCAUGCUACUCCCUUGUAAACAAACCCACAUGCUAACUACUGCAACCGAACUACACAGCUGCUGAAUGAUUGGCUGUUUGCCUGUUACUGGUGAUGUCCGGGGAUAUGAUAGGCUGUUUCCGCACGCUGGGUCCGCCUGUCUGUUAGCUGAUUGGCUGUUCGUGUGUUUCUGCCGGCAAGAACGAACUCCAUGAAGACAGCUCCGCUUCGAUAGAAAUUCGCUUCAAAACAAACAACAAGCUAAAGUUCUGUCUCACCCAGAUGCGAGCUUACAGUCACUAACACGAGACAAAACACUCACCAUGGCAGAAGCACCAGGCCCGAGCGGCGAGUCUGCCGCGGCGGCGUCUCAGUGGCACCACUAAUUUUGCUCAAAAAACCAAACUCCAAAAGUCACAUUUGGAACUAUUUUAGCUUUAAACAAGGCACAGAUGGUAAAGCAAUAGACGAUGGCCGUCCACUGUGCAGGCGCUGCCACCAAGCUAUAGAAGCCAAAGGAGGGAACACAUCCAACCUCAUAAACACCUGCAGGGUCGUCACCCAGAUUUAUAUGUCGAAUACCAGGUUAGUAUGCCCUGUUUAUUUUCUCAUUGGCUAAUAUUAGUCUAUAUGCUCCGUGGACAGGCUGAGGAAUGAAGAGUUAAAGGAUGUCAAAGUAUAAAGCACCUAGAAAAUGCAUAAAAAUAUAGUUUUCACAGGGAAAAUUGUAUUUUGUCCUCUAUGGUUUAUUAUGUUAUAUUAUUGUCAAAUAGAUAUUUUUAAAAGACAGAGGAUUUGUUAUCCUAAAUUGAUUAUUUAUAUUAGUUAAACAUAAAUAAUGUGCAAAGGAAACUAAAUGAUUAUAUGAUUUCAACCAUAUCAAUUCUAACUUCAUUUAUUUGUUUUUUAUUGCUCGUAUGCUUUUGUUCAUGUACUCUUAUUGACCCAGUUAUGAACUAAAACCAUUAGGACCAUUAGGCUAAUUUGUUAUGUAUUUC
ensembl:lncRNA